UGUUUACUGAGCUGAGAGAACAAAUUACCUACUUCAGGCGGUGGGAAGCGUAUGGAAAUUAUAUUAGAACUUCAGCAAAGUGCACAGCCGCAUAAUACAGAAGCCGAGGCUCAGAUUGACAGGCAAAUAAGCCAGCUCGUGGAAGGGGCCUCUGGGUGGCAGCUCUGGGCUAUUGGGUGUUGGACAACUCUAGGCAAAACUGAAAUGGAACGGGGGCAGAAAAUAGCACACUAACGCUGCGCAACCGUUGCUUUCUCAUGGUCAUUAGGAAUUUUGUUGGGAUAAUUGUCCAAAUGAAUUUGAAGCAUUCUAUUCAAAUGGCAGGAGUAAAAGACAGUUGAACUCGGCCUCCCAGCUUCAACUCUC